UGGUGUCCUGUAACUUACUACUGCCGCUUUACAUAACGUAGCUUGUAAAUGCGAGCAGUAGUAGGCGUCUGGACGCUA
rnacentral:pre_miRNA from 2 species